UUGGUGCCUGGGGCUUAACACCCCGGGUGAAAAGGGAACCAGGUGGGAAUCCUGGACAGACGGUGCUGCUGUGAGCUCCCGGAAUCUGUAUCCCGCACUUGACCACUGCGCUUCAUCCUCACGAGGCAUGGGAAGGUCAAGUGGCAACAAUGGGGUAGGGGGCGAGUCAGAAGACCUGCCAAGUCG
rnacentral:ncRNA from 1 species